UUUGAAUCGAUUUAUGAUGAUGAUAUAUAUCUCACAUUCGUUUUUUUUUAUUGGUAAAAGCAAAACCAAUCAUGCAAGACUCCGUUAUCAUCAUUCAUUCAUUCAUAGUUUUUUCCCGAUUAUGAUUAUGGAAUAAAAUGACCUUCCUUGCCGUACAAAACGGACAUUUAUAUGCCCAUCAAAUGUGUGCAUUUGUGAAAGUAAAGAGAAUGAAUGGGAUUUGUGUUACCUGUUAAAUUUCUAAUGAUGAUGAUGAUGAAGAAGAGAGAUUGGUGGUACCCACCAGCACCAACCAUCAUGCGGAAAUCACACCACAAAUUCAACGAUUUAAGUAUAUACAAAUAAAUCAUGAAAAAAAAAUGAGAGAAGAAGAAAGACUGGAAUAAAGUCAAAUUCUAAAAUGGAUGUA